rnacentral:rRNA from 1 species
GAUGAACGCUGGCGGCGUGCCUAAUACAUGCAAGUCGAGCGAACAGACGAGGAGCUUGCUCCUCUGACGUUAGCGGCGGACGGGUGAGUAACACGUGGAUAACCUACCUAUAAGACUGGGAUAACUUCGGGAAACCGGAGCUAAUACCGGAUAAUAUAUUGAACCGCAUGGUUCAAUAGUGAAAGACGGUGUUGCUGUCACUUAUAGCUGGAUCCGCGCCGCAUUAGCUAGUUGGUAAGGUAACGGCUUACCAAGGCAACGAUGCGUAGCCGACCUGAGAGAGUGAUCGGCCACACUGGAGCUGAGACACGGUCCAGACUACUACGGGAGGCAGCAGUAGGGAAUCGUCCGCAAAGGGCGAAAGCUUGACGGAGCAACGCCGCGUGAGUGAUGAAGGUCUUCGGAUCGUAAAACUCUGUUAUUAGGGAAGAACAAAUGUGUAAGUAACUAUGCACGUCUUGACGGUACCUAAUCAGAAAGCCACGGCUAACUACGUG